rnacentral:lncRNA from 1 species
AUGCAUAAUAUACAUAAUGUUUUGCUACUUGCUUUUUGCUUAUUAUAUCCUUGGACAUCUUCCCAUGUCAAUAAUAUAAAUUAUGUCAUUUGUAAAAUGGAAAUAUGAUAGUUAUAAAAACUAACUUAAUACUUAUAAAUAAGGUAGAACAAUGUCUACCUUACAUAACAUAAUAAUUGCUUAACUAAGAUUAGCUAUUGUUUUGUCAUUGGAAAACUGUUCCAUAAUUUGAAUAAUCUAUUGAUGGGCAUGUAGACUGCUUUCAGUUUUCCCCUACUACAAAUAAUAUGGAAUUGACCAACUUUAUAUGUAGGCUUGAUAUGUAUAAUGUUACUAGGAUACGUUUUCAGCAGUGGAAAUACUGGAUUAUAGAGAAUAUACCUGUACCCAUCAUAUAUUUCAGCCAAAGCCCAUCCUUCUAUACCUGCUUUGUGACCCUCGGGUGGGAAUCAGUAAACUGCCUUUUCCAGACUGGCUUGCCAACUGGCUUUUGAUUUCUCCAAGGAAGAUAUUGCCAAAUCAAGCUCAAAAAUGGCUGUAUCAAUUUGUAUUCCCACCAACAAUAUAUGAAAAGGCUUCUUUCCCAAACUGUGGAGUUAAAAAAAAAAAGUGUAGGACCCCAUUCCAAGCCUACUGAGAACUGGGUGGGACCUGGACACAAUGUAUUUUCCAAAAGCACUAUAAAUGAUCCCAAUGCACAGCCAGGUAAGAACCAUUGUUCUAGAUAUUUGAUUCUCAAAGUGUGGUCCCCAGAUGGGCAGUGUCAGCCCUGGGAGUCUGUUAGAAAUGCAUCAUCUCAGAAGCUAUAUUUUAACAGGAGCCCCAGGAGAUUCAAAUGCACAUUGAAGUUUGAGAAACACUGCUCUAGAAAGGAUACAGCAACAGGCCUAGAUUUUGUGGGGCCUAAAGCUUACAUAAUCUGGGGAGUCCUUUUUACUGAAAAAUAUACAAAAUUACAAACAAAGAUGGAGUACAAAUUUAAUAUUUACUUACAAUGAAGUAAUAAAUCCUGAUUAAAUACAAAAUUUUAAAAGCCGAAAAGUACCAUAAACAUCACAAAAUUCUGGAGGAAAAAAGGAAAAAACGCAUUUAUUCAUGAGCUGCCUAAUGCACGUCUAUAUUUUUGUAAAUUUUUAGCUAUUUCUUUGCAUGAUAAAAAAAAUUUCUAUGAUCUUUCUAUAGAGAGAUGAGAAUUAAUUCAGUCAGCUAGAAAUUUGUGUUUUAUUCUUGGUAAUCUAGAAGAGCUUUUUUUUUUCAACUUUCAACUCAUUAUAAUAUCAUGUAAAAUUUUUUAGAAUUUGGUCCAGUUAGGAUAAGUUCCAUCCAAUGUCUUUCAUGGGAGCUGUAAGAGUCAUGGCAUUUCAUGGUUCUCAUCCAGUGGCUAAUUUUAAAUGCCCUUGGAAUCAAGGACAGUCAGACAUCCUUGUGCAGAGCAUUACUUUCAUGUUUCUUCUCCUCUUCUGUUCUGUGCCCCAGAGUGUCCCAAUUCACAUAAAUUUCUUUACCUCUUCUGUUAUUGUUUUACCUACAUUUUCUUUGCUCUUGUGAUUCUGAGUUUUUGUUUGUUUUUUAUUUGUUUUUUGUCUUUAUGAGUGUGACCAUCAGAGUUUUUAUCUUCUCUUAUGAAAAAAGAGAGUUCUCAACAUUUUGAAGUCUCUGCUAGUUCCUAAAAGUUCCUUCUUUUCGUUAGAUCUUCAGUUUCCAGUAGGUUCCAGCCUUCCCUUCACAUUUGAGUUUUACAGUAUGAUCAACCACUCUGAAAUGCACCAGAGAUUUAGAUAUGUUUGAAGGUACGAGGGUUCAGUCCUAUCUCUCUCUGGCCAUGAAGCACUCACUGCCUGGGGACAAAGUUGGGAGAGUGCUGAGACAGGGUGC